GAUGAACGCUAGCGGCAGGCCUAACACAUGCAAGUCGAGGGAGGAGCUUUCGGGCUUCGACCGGCGUACGGGUGCGUAACGCGUAUACAAUCUGCCUUUCACAUAGGGAUAGCCCGAAGAAAUUUGGAUUAAUACCUAAUGGUAUAUAGAGGUGGCAUCACCUUUAUAUUAAAGCUGAGGCGGUGAAAGAUGAGUAUGCGUUCUAUUAGCUAGUUGGAGAGGUAACGGCUCCCCAAGGCGACGAUAGAUAGGGGUUCUGAGAGGGAUAUCCCCCACACUGGUACUGAGAUACGGACCAGACACCUACGGGAGGAAGCAGUGAGGAAUAUUGGACGAUGGUCGGAAGACUGAUCCAGCCAUGCCGCGUGCAGGAAGACGGCCUUAUGUGUUGUAAACUGCUUUUGCAGGGGAAGAAUAAGGACUACGCGUAGUUUGAUGACGGUACUCUGCGAAUAAGCAUCGGCUAACUCCGUG
rnacentral:rRNA from 1 species